rnacentral:rRNA from 1 species
CCUACGGGAGGCAGCAGUGGGGAAUAUUGGGCAAUGGACGCAAGUCUGACCCAGCAACGCCGCGUGAAGGAAGAAGGCUUUCGGGUUGUAAACUUCUUUUAAGGGGGAAGAGCAGAAGACGGUACCCCUUGAAUAAGCCACGGCUAACUACGUGCCAGCAGCCGCGGUAAUACGUAGGUGGCAAGAGUUGUCCGGAUUUACUGGGUGUAAAGGGCGUGCAGCCGGAGAGACAAGUCAGAUGUGAAAUCCCCGGGCUCAACCCGUGAACUGCAUUUGAAACUGUUUCCCUUGAGUGUCGGAGAGGUAAUCGGAAUUCCGUGUGUAGCGGUGAAAGGCGUAGAUAUAAGGAAGAACACCAGUGGCGAAGGCGGAUUACUGGACGAUAACUGACGGUGAGGCGCGAAAGCGUGGGGAGCAAACAGGAUUAGAUACCCUAGUAGUC